ACGGAAGAGAGAGUAGGCAUCUGGGUGGACAAUGAGUUGUUCCUGCCACCAGGAUCUUAUGUUUAUUCACUGCCAUGAUGACCUGAAUUAUUUUGGAUAGAAGACACUUCAGGAUUCAAUAGGAAGGAUCAGUGAGGCAACAGGAGUGGCGGCAGAGAAAGAACCACUAUGAAGUUUAAAGAGACACUUAGAAACAGAAUGGUCAUGAACAACGCCCAGAUAUGUUUUUUCAUUCCUUUAUUUUCAACCUCUCUGAAUCAACAUUGGAUUUUGAAGCCCCAUCUGAGUAUUUGCCAUUUAUCAGUAAGUGUAACUGUCAUAUUUAUUGAGAUUGCAGAUUUGUUAUACUAACUUCUGCUGUCUUAUUUAUGAGUUUCCCUUCGCU
rnacentral:lncRNA from 10 species